CCACUGCCCACCGCAGGCCCCCUUCCCUUCCUCCACCAGGCCGAGUGGAGAACCCUGAAGCUACGGGACAGGCUCCCGUUCCCCGUGCCUACGUAGGGUGCUGGCUCUGGCAGAAAGACAGUGUGCCUGCCCCGCAUCACCUGUCCGAGUGCGAACACCUUGGGAAGGGGGUUCCUGGUGGUCUUGUGACAACCAGAGACCCCCAGGGCCAAGGAGGCCACUGCAGCCUGGCCCUUCUGUGCCCUGGGCCCCUCCUCAUUGCACCACCACCCACCGCACCACCCUGGGACAGAGGAAACACAUGGAAGCCAUAGCAUAGAGCCUGUUUAUAGAUCUCUGCCUGUCUUGUCCGUCCAUCCACUGUGUGUAUAUAUCUGUAUAUCUCUGUGGAGCGGGGAACGGGACAGUUGUGUAAAAAUCCAAAAUACAAUUCUGACUAU
rnacentral:antisense_RNA from 1 species